ACGGAGGGUGCAAGCGUUGCUCGGAAUUACUGGGCGUAAAGCGCGUGUAGGCGGUUUCGUAUGUCUGGCGUGAAAGCCCCGGGCUCACCCCGGGAAGUGCGCUGGAAACUGCGAGACUAGAGUCCCGGAGAGGAAGGUGGAAUUCCAGGUGUAGCGGUGAAAUGCGUAGAUAUCUGGAAGAACACCGGUGGCGAAGGCGGCCUUCUGGACGGUGACUGACGCUGAGACGCGAAAGCGUGGGGAGCAAACAGGAUUAGAUACCCUGGUAGUCCACGCCGUAAACGAUGGGCACUAGGUGUCGCGGGUAUUGACCCCUGCGGUGCCACAGCUAACGCAUUAAGUGCCCCGCCUGGGGAAUACGGCCGCAAGGCUA
rnacentral:rRNA from 1 species